AAUUCAUGGAUUUCUUCUGCUCUUUAGAUGUCAGCUCCAGGACCUCUUCCAGCUUCUUCCUCAGAGGGCCCAGAGCUUCCUGGAGUUUCACCCGCAUGGGCAUUGUACUCCUGGGCUGCCUCCC